GGAAAGAUUCAUCGGUAUGGGAUGGGGUCGCGUCCUAUCAGCUUGAUGGCGGGGUAACGGCCCACCAUGGCUUCGACGGGUAGCCGGCCUGAGAGGGCGACCGGCCACAUUGGGACUGAGAUACGGCCCAGACUCCUACGGGAGGCAGCAGUGGGGAAUAUUGCACAAUGGGCGCAAGCCUGAUGCAGCGACGCCGCGUGCGGGAUGACGGCCUUCGGGUUGUAAACCGCUUUUGACUGGGAGCAAGCCCUUCGGGGUGAGUGUACCUUUCGAAUAAGCACCGGCUAACUACGUGCCAGCAGCCGCGGUAAUACGUAGGGUGCAAGCGUUAUCCGGAAUUAUUGGGCGUAAAGGGCUCGUAGGCGGUUCGUCGCGUCCGGUGUGAAAGUCCAUCGCUUAACGGUGGAUCCGCGCCGGGUACGGGCGGG
rnacentral:rRNA from 1 species